GGAUGGAUGGCUCAGAGGUUAAGAGCACUGGCUGCUCUUCCAGAGGUCCUGAGUUCAAUUCCCAGCAACCA
rnacentral:tRNA from 1 species